GUGCUCCCCCCAGGACCAGGAGGUGUCUAACUACAGCCUGGAAAAAAUGCAAAACAGACAAAUGCACCCUCGGGGGACAGCAGGAGAAAGCUAAUAGACCAGUCCCCCUGUCCCCCACCCACGGCUCUGGUUUAGAUACAGGUGAUGAGGACCACUGAAGUCUCUGAAGCUGCAAGAGAGGGUGC